UAUAGCUAAGUAUUAGCAGACUAAAGUAUUUCAAUCAAAGUGUAUCGGUUCCAAAUGGGGUUUGGUUUACUUUUGCCUAAAGUUUGUCUAGAUUUGUAUUCCAGAGUUCUUGAGUAUUACAAUGUAUUAUAGUGAUCACUUCUGUAACUGAAAGGCAUGCAAAUAUUGACUAACAAGUGCAAUAUUAUGCAUUGUAAUUGGUAUAUUGAAUUCAUAAUGUUUUAAGUACAGAGCUCCAUACUUUUUAAUCCCUUUCCCUCAAUGUUGUGCUGAACUCUCCAUCACUGUAAUUAUGUGGAUGAGAAAAAAAUCCACAACAAGUAAGGAAUAUAGAUCUACCUGCUUUAGUUCAAGUUCCCUUCUAGCCCAUCAAACAUCUUUGGAAAUACAGCAACCCUGAAACUUAGAAAAAAUGUUGACUGCACUGUAAAAGGUUUUGUGUAGUCCUAUAAAAACUAAUCUAAACCACAGUAUUCCUGCUUUAAAUAUGAUGAUAAGAAUUAGCCAUUUGUCAUGACAGUAGCUUGACCUGAUGGGCCCUGCAGAGUAGCAGUGAGAUCAGCAGGGUCCCUGCUCAGCCAGCAGUCCUCUCCUGUGGAGUCAGGUGCUCACGUUGCUCCCUGGAACAACAGGUUGCUGUCAGCAGCUCCCCUUGCACCUGUUCUCUAUGAUCUGGAGCACCACUGUUGCCUGGAUUUCUGAAUACAAGCUGUGCAAAAGUCAUUGAAACCAUCAGGUCCUGCAAUAAACUCAUGUAACAAACUUGCCUGAAUAAUACAUGUUUGAAUCAUCUGCAGAUUAAUAUUUAAUCUUCAAAAAAAGUGUAUUUGUUUCCAAUAAGAUAGUAGCUUAACAGCUACCUUGACGCAGGAGAAGAGUAGGUAUAAACAGGAGUGUUAUUACCUCGAGAGAAAAAGUGACUUGUAAACCGAUUUAAAAAACAAAAAUAAGUCAAUUUUCUCUUUCCUUUUGAGAAAGAAAAGCAACCUUUAAAUUGGACAACUUAGUCAGCAGUGUUUCUGGAUGAUCCUUUGUUCUGUGUUACUCUUUGAGAGAAGCAAGCAGUUCAGGAGUUGACCUAUAAUUUUAAUUGCUUCUGGCUUCUGCAGAUGUGAAAAGUAAACACCUGACACUGAGGACACUACUGAUGGCUCUGCUGCUCUUUGCCAGUGCUGCACUCACUCUUAAUGAUGAGAUAAAGAAUUAAUAUUAAUACCCCAUAAUAAGUAAUUUAUGGUAGUCACUUACUCCAGUGGAACAGAUUUUUGACAGUUCAUCACAGUAAUACCAUCAUAUUUCAGACCUGCAGUUGUUUUGGAUCCUUUUCUCGACUCCAUGCUUAGGAGAAAGAAGAGGUCUCUACCAUGAGCCUCCCUGAAAGCACAAUACAGUAACAAGAACUCCAGGAGCUGAAACUUAAAAUAUGUUGUUGUUGUGUGGUAUUAACACUCUGCAGAGCCUGGUGUGAUGCAGCAGUGUGACGAAUCUCCUUGCCUCCCCAUUCUGCCAAGCAUAUUCAUAAGCAAAUAUACCAGUUACACACAAACAGGAACUGUGUGUAUACAUAACAAACAGAAAAAAAAAAUAAAGAUGGGAACAAUCUCUGAUGAGAUUGUUUUAAUGACAACUAAUAUACCAUGGAAAAAAUCCCCACUGCAGGGUAAAUUACUUUGUAUGGGCAAAUAUCACUUAUUUUUGAGUGAAAUGAAGUGAUCGGGAUAGAAAUGUAAGGUUUCUAGCUUCUUUUAACUAACUUUUAACUAAACAGGUGUUCCCCUAUGGAAAGAAAGCAUCUUAGAUUUUCUUGAGACCAAACAUAAGAGAAGAGAGUGAGAGCAAAACACCCAUGGUACAUUCUAAUUCAAGAUGAUUUUGUAAAUAUUCAAAUUUGUACCCGAUUUUUUUUUGUUUUCUUCUGGGAAAAGGCUGUCAAACGAGGAAAGCACUAUACAGAUGUAUUUUUGCCCAUU